GAGGGGAACCUUUACCUUUUUGAAGAAUAUUUAUAGCCGAGGGUUGAAACGAGGGGUCUUGGCUGCUUUCUGAGCUUUGGUGGUUUUCUUGCAGACGUUUCAUUACCCA